rnacentral:rRNA from 1 species
AUCGGUAUUGAAUGUUAUAAGUAUAGAAUGUUAAAUUGUGAGAAAACCAAGCGGCGGACGGGUGAGUAACGCGUGGGUAACCUGCCUUAUACACAUGGAUAACAUACUGAAAGGUUGAUUAAUACAUGAUAAUAUAUAUGUGUGGCAUCGCAGAGAUAUCAAAGUUUUAGCGGUGUAGGAUGGACCCGCGUCUGAUUAGCUAGUUGGUGAGAUAACUGCCCACCAAGGCGACGAUCAGUAGCCGACCUGAGAGGGUGAUCGGCCACAUUGGAACUGAGACACGGUCCAAACUCCUACGGGAGGCAGCAGUGGGGAAUAUUGCACAAUGGGCGAAAGCCUGAUGCAGCAACGCCGCGUGAACGAUGAAGGUCUUCGAAUCGUAAGGUUCUGUUGCAGGGGAAGAUAAUGACGGUACCCUGUGAGGAAGCCCCGGCUAACUACGUGCCAGCAGCCGCGGUAAUACGUAGGGGGCUAGCGUUAUCCGGAUUUACUGGGCGUAAAGGGUGCGUAGGUGGUCCUUCAAGUCGGUGGUUAAAGGCUACGGCUCAACCGUAGUAAGCCGCCGAAACUGGAGGACUUGAGUGCAGGAGAGGAAAGUGGAAUUCCCAGUGUAGCGGUGAAAUGCGUAGAUAUUGGGAGGAACACCAGUAGCGAAGGCGGCUUUCUGGACUGCAACUGACACUGAGGCACGAAAGCGUGGGUAGCAAACAGG